CGGGGUGUGGCUCAGUUUGGCUAGAGCACCUGCUUUGGGAGCAGGGGACCGCAGGUUCGAAUCCUGUCACCCCGA
rnacentral:tRNA from 1 species